rnacentral:rRNA from 1 species
GACGAACGCUGGCGGCGUGCUUAACACAUGCAAGUCGAACGGUGAAGGGAUCAGCUUGCUGGUUCUGGAUGAGUGGCGAACGGGUGAGUAACACGUGAGUAACCUGCCCCCUUCUUCUGGAUAACCGCAUGAAAGUGUGGCUAAUACGGGAUAUUCUGCGCCUGCUGCAUGGUGGGUGUGGGAAAGAUAUUGUUUCGGUGGGGGAUGGGCUCGCGGCCUAUCAGCUUGUUGGUGGGGUGAUGGCCUACCAAGGCGGUGACGGGUAGCCGGCCGGAGAGGGUGGACGGUCACACUGGGACUGCGACACAGCCCAGAAUGCUACGGGAGGCAGCAGUGGGGAAUAUUGCACGAUGGGGGCAAGCCUGAUGCAGCGACGCCGCGUGAGAGAUGGAGGCCUUCGGGUUGUGAACCUCUUUCGCCAGUGAAGCAGGCCUGUCCCUUGUGGGUGGGUUGACGGUAGCUGGAUAAGAAGCGCCGGCUAACUACGUG